rnacentral:misc_RNA from 1 species
UCUCCGUAGGUGAACCUGCGGAGGGAUCAUUACUGAGUGAGGGCUCACGCCCGACCUCCAACCCUUUGUGAACCAAACUUGUUGCUUCGGGGGCGACCCUGCCGACGACUUCGUCGCCGGGCGCCCCCGGGGGACACUUAACACUGCAUCAGUGCGUCGGAGUGAUCAGUAAAUCUGAACAAAACUUUCAACAACGGAUCUCUUGGUUCUGGCAUCGAUGAAGAACGCAGC